UGCGGCGCUCUAUACAUGCAAGUCGAACGAGUUCUCGUUGAUGAUCGGUGCUUGCACCGAGAUUCAACAUGGAACGAGUGGCGGACGGGUGAGUAACACGUGGGUAACCUGCCCUUAAGUGGGGGAUAACAUUUGGAAACAGAUGCUAAUACCGCAUAGAUCCAAGAACCGCAUGGUUCUUGGCUGAAAGAUGGCGUAAGCUAUCGCUUUUGGAUGGACCCGCGGCGUAUUAGCUAGUUGGUGAGGUAAUGGCUCACCAAGGCGAUGAUACGUAGCCGAACUGAGAGGUUGAUCGGCCACAUUGGGACUGAGACACGGCCCAAACUCCUACGGGAGGCAGCAGUAGGGAAUCUUCCACAAUGGACGCAAGUCUGAUGGAGCAACGCCGCGUGAGUGAAGAAGGCUUUCGGGUCGUAAAACUCUGUUGUUGGAGAAGAAUGGUCGGCAGAGUAACUGUUGUCGGCGUGACGGUAUCCAACCAGAAAGCCACGGCUAACUACGUGCCAGCAGCCGCGGUAAUACGUAGGUGGCAAGCGUUAUCCGGAUUUAUUGGGCGUAAAGCGAGCGCAGGCGGUUUUUUAAGUCUGAUGUGAAAGCCCUCGGCUUAACCGAGGAAGCGCAUCGGAAACUGGGAAACUUGAGUGCAGAAGAGGACAGUGGAACUCCAUGUGUAGCGGUGAAAUGCGUAGAUAUAUGGAAGAACACCAGUGGCGAAGGCGGCUGUCUGGUCUGUAACUGACGCUGAGGCUCGAAAGCAUGGGUAGCGAACAGGAUUAGAUACCCUGGUAGUCCAUGCCGUAAACGAUGAAUGCUAGGUGUUGGGAGGGUUUCCGCCCUUCAGUGCCGCAGCUAACGCAUUAAGCAUUCCGCCUGGGGAGUACGACCGCAAGGUGACGAGGGAGGGGGGGGGCGGGAUU
rnacentral:rRNA from 1 species